UACGAAGGGGGCUAGCGUUGCUCGGAAUCACUGGGCGUAAAGGGUGCGUAGGCGGGUUUUUAAGUCAGGGGGGAAAUCCUGGAGCUCAACUCCAGAACUGCCUUUGAUACUGAAGAUCUUGAGUCCGGGAGAGGUGAGUGGAACUGCGAGUGUAGUGGUGAAAUUCGUAGAUAUUCGCAAGAACACCAGUGGCGAAGGCGGCUCACUGGCCCGGUACUGACGCUGAGGCACGAAAGCGUGGGGAGCAAACAGG
rnacentral:rRNA from 1 species